CUCGUAGAGACUGACGUUUCGUAGGGAACACAAUAUGGUGCCAGGAGGAUUAUAUUUUCCUCAAAGGAUUAAUACCACCACCAUGUGAUAUGAGAAAUAAGUGUUACUUGGACAAGCACGGAGAUGGGUUGGAGUCGGU
rnacentral:misc_RNA from 1 species